rnacentral:lncRNA from 1 species
CGGUUCUCAAAGCUGCAUUUGUACUUCAGGAAAUACAUACUGCAGCUAUUUAUUUUUAGGCUUUUUUUAAGCUUCCCCACUUAGUUCCUACAUAGUCUGCGAUGUUACCAUCCUCUCUCCCUCCUCUGUCAGUUUCUAAGGAUUACUCAAUUAUCCCUUUCUAUUUGACAGAAUUCACAUCAAAUGCAAGCUAUAUGAGCCCAGGAUUUUGCUUUAGCUGCUGCAAAGAUGGGAAGGAAAACAGCUCGGUGGCAGAUUCUCAACCUUAAUACCUUGGUCAUUUAUGAUCCAGAUCCCCGCUUCACCUUUACCUUUUGAUUAUGUUCAUGGCUUCCCACCUACGGUGCCCCAGCCUCUGCCAUAUCAGUCAAUCAAUCAGUUAAGUAUUUCAUUUUUAAAAAAUUUACAUUGAAAUUUUUUAACAUCUCCAAAAUAUCCCCUGUAUAACUUUACCUCCCUUCCCAGGAGCCAUAUCUUACAACAAAGAAUAUUUUUAAAGGAAAAAAAAAGGAAAAAAAGAAUAAAUGAAAAAAAAUCAACA